AUCUAUUCGUCUUGGCUACAGAGAACUAUUUCAUUAUUAUUAAUACAAAUUAUUAAAUGAAAUUCUCUUAUGUCAUCUGCGUAUCACAAUCCCAACACGAUCCAUUAAUAAAGAAUCUCUACUGAUAAAAUAUACCCGACAACCCUAGAGACGACCAAAAGGAAGUAAUGUCGUCAUUUAUUACUUAAUUAAUUUAUAUAAAAAAACAAAACAAAACCCAAUAGUCAACUGUAAUAUAGUCUUAGAAUAGUGUCACUAAGGUUGGCUUCAAAAAUCAAGUAAUAUUCGUGUGUACAUUCUGUUCACACAUACUUAUUUAGCUGUGUUUGUGCAGAUUGUGCAUUGGCCCAGUCCGCGUUCGUCGACUUGCGGAUCGGGCCAGUUCGACAAUGGUCCAAUCCAUUUAAUUGUUUCUAA